rfam:Melissococcus plutonius ATCC 35311 DNA, complete genome.
AACAGAGUAGAAAAUAAAGCGUUAAGUGCUCGAAGGAUGGGAUGUUGCCUUCUUGACGAAGAAUAUUGUAUCUAUAUAUUCGCGGUUUUAUUUUCGCAUUCGCUGCA